GACGGAGGAUGCAAGUGUUAUCCGGAAUCACUGGGCGUAAAGCGUCUGUAGGUGGCUUUGUAAGUUUGCGGUGAAAGCCCGGGGCUCAACCCCGGGUCUGCCGUGGAUACUGCAAGGCUUGAGUACUGUAGAGGCAGGUAGAAUAUCGGGUGUAGCGGUGGAAUGCGUAGAGAUCCGAUAGAAGACCGGUGGCGAAGGCGGCCUGCUGGGCAGUAACUGACACUGAGGCGCGACAGCGUGGGGAGCAAACAGG
rnacentral:rRNA from 1 species